rnacentral:lncRNA from 1 species
CUUUGUUUUUGUUUUUGGGCUUUCUUCCAUUAGACAACCGCUACUGCCAACCACCUGCUCGACCGUUCUUGGGUGGUUGGCAUGCCACCGCACCUCGCUGACCAUGCCACCAUUGGACCCGUAAGGGUCCUUGUUUGUACUAGAGAGGGGUGGGGUAAUCUCCUUUGUUUUGCCAAGGAAAACCUAAGAAGAGAGGAAGAAGAAU